rnacentral:rRNA from 1 species
AUUGAACGCUGGCGGCAGGCCUAACACAUGCAAGUCGAACGGGCGGGGGGCGGGUGUGUAAUGUCUGGGAGACAGCUUGAUGGAGGGGGAUAAAUACUGGUUGCGAUAGCUAAUUCCUCAUACCAUCGAUUGGGCCCACCUGUGAUUAGCUAGUUGGUUGGGUAACGGCUCACCUAGCCGACGAUCCCUAGCUGGUCUGAGAGGAUGACCAGCCACACUGGAACUGAGACACGGUCCAGACUCCUACGGGAGGCAGCAGUGGGGAAUAUUGCACAAUGGGCGAAAGCCUGAUGCAGCCAUGCGGCGUGUAUGAAGAAGGCCUUCGGGUUGUAAAGUACUUUCAGCGAGGAGGCGUUACUCGCAGAAGAAGCACCGGCUAACUCCGUGCCAGCAGCCGCGGUAAUAC